AGAGACAAAAGAAGGAAGGGUUUAAGACUGUAUAACUGUAAAAUACAAGAGUUGAGCAAACCAAAUGGCGAAUCCCAAGCAAGCAUCGAUUCGGCCAUGGUUUCUCGAACUCGUUCCUCUCUUGGUUGUUCUUCUCAUUGUCGCUCACGUCCUCGCUUUGGUUUACUGGAUUUACAGAUUGGCAACUGAUAAGCAGCCACAAAGAAGUAAAAGACACUAGACGAAGGAAGCAGUAGAAUCGGUUCAAUUUGCGGAAAUAGGAGUUUGAUUAUAGGUUGUUAGAGUUGGAUGGUUAGUGAAAGCUGAGCGUUAAAGGGAAAAGAGAAAGAACAUCAAAUGGGGUCGCUGCUGGGAUAAUUAGAAACUGCUGUUUGAAAUUGACUGUUGGAGAAGAUGGUCAUUUGUUCACUCAGCUGCAUCAUUCCUAGACUUGAGAAAGUGAUGAGACAUCCAUUUGUGGUUCAGACAACUUGCCCUUAGAAGUGUUGAGGAUAAUAGGUGUUGUUUGGCUUCAUCACAGCUCUGAUAGCGUAUGUCAUGUUGUCAUGGUUGUGAUGAUGUGUGUGUGGUUAACUGACUUAGAUUGGUUGGCAAGAAAAAUUUACUCGUUUAAAAUUGGGCUGUGACCAAGGAUGAACUAUUAUCUGGCUAUCGGGAUACAGUUCCUCUUUGUCUCCCUAAAAAGUCUUAACAGGCAGCAGAUCUUAAGAGAGCGGAGAUCUCACAGUGUUGGGUCUGGUAUUGGAAAAUAUAUUAGCAAGUUCUAGAAAAACUUCUCCAAGUUUUCUGAGGGAGAAGGCCCUUCAAACAUUGGAUGGAUAAUAUUAAAUCGAUAACUCAAAUGACCUAGGUACGCAAUUACUUAAUGGUAAUAGAAUUCCAAAAGGAAGUAAGAAGUGUAACUGGGAGAAGACUUGAGAGAAGCCUCUACCUGCGCCCGAUAUAUUGUCCAAUAUAUGAGGUAUAUAAACUUGGAUGGUCAUGGAUUGAAUCAUUGAAAGCUAGCUUGAUUCUAUUCCUCAGGUAGGUCUCUGUGGGAGAUUUUAUGCAUCUUAUAUUAUGUGGUUUUCUUCCCUUCUAGUGACAGAUCCUCUAUAUUUUCUUAGAAGAAUAUGUCAUUUGUAGCAUUUAAUCUCUUUUACUUGUAACUACAAGAA